rnacentral:rRNA from 1 species
CGAGCGAACGGGGAGCAGCCCAGAGCCUGAAUCAGUGUGUGUGUUAGUGGAAGCGUCUGGAAAGGCGCGCGAUACAGGGUGACAGCCCCGUACACAAAAAUGCACAUGCUGUGAGCUCGAUGAGUAGGGCGGGACACGUGGUAUCCUGUCUGAAUAUGGGGGGACCAUCCUCCAAGGCUAAAUACUCCUGACUGACCGAUAGUGAACCAGUACCGUGAGGGAAAGGCGAAAAGAACCCCGGCGAGGGGAGUGAAAAAGAACCUGAAACCGUGUACGUACAAGCAGUGGGAGCACGCUUAGGCGUGUGACUGCGUACCUUUUGUAUAAUGGGUCAGCGACUUAUAUUCUGUAGCAAGGUUAACCGAAUAGGGGAGCCGAAGGGAAACCGAGUCUUAACUGGGCGUUAAGUUGCAGGGUAUAGACCCGAAACCCGGUGAUCUAGCCAUGGGCAGGUUGAAGGUUGGGUAACACUAACUGGAGGACCGAACCGACUAAUGUUGAAAAAUUAGCGGAUGACUUGUGGCUGGGGGUGAAAGGCCAAUCAAACCGGGAGAUAGCUGGUUCUCCCCGAAAGCUAUUUAGGUAGCGCCUCGUGAAUUCAUCUCCGGGGGUAGAGCACUGUUUCGGCAAGGGGGUCAUCCCGACUUACCAACCCGAUGCAAACUGCGAAUACCGGAGAAUGUUAUCACGGGAGACACACGGCGGGUGCUAACGUCCGUCGUGAAGAGGGAAACAACCCAGACCGCCAGCUAAGGUCCCAAAGUCAUGGUUAAGUGGGAAACGAUGUGGGAAGGCCCAGACAGCCAGGAUGUUGGCUUAGAAGCAGCCAUCAUUUAAAGAAAGCGUAAUAGCUCACUGGUCGAGUCGGCCUGCGCGGAAGAUGUAACGGGGCUAAACCAUGCACCGAAGCUGCGGCAGCGACACUGUGUGUUGUUGGGUAGGGGAGCGUUCUGUAAGCCUGCGAAGGUGUGCUGUGAGGCAUGCUGGAGGUAUCAGAAGUGCGAAUGCUGACAUAAGUAACGAUAAAGCGGGUGAAAAGCCCGCUCGCCGGAAGACCAAGGGUUCCUGUCCAACGUUAAUCGGGGCAGGGUGAGUCGACCCCUAAGGCGAGGCCGAAAGGCGUAGUCGAUGGGAAACAGGUUAAUAUUCCUGUACUUGGUGUUACUGCGAAGGGGGGACGGAGAAGGCUAUGUUGGCCGGGCGACGGUUGUCCCGGUUUAAGCGUGUAGGCUGGUUUUCCAGGCAAAUCCGGAAAAUCAAGGCUGAGGCGUGAUGACGAGGCACUACGGUGCUGAAGCAACAAAUGCCCUGCUUCCAGGAAAAGCCUCUAAGCAUCAGGUAACAUCAAAUCGUACCCCAAACCGACACAGGUGGUCAGGUAGAGAAUACCAAGGCGCUUGAGAGAACUCGGGUGAAGGAACUAGGCAAAAUGGUGCCGUAACUUCGGGAGAAGGCACGCUGAUAUGUAGGUGAAGUCCCUCGCGGAUGGAGCUGAAAUCAGUCGAAGAUACCAGCUGGCUGCAACUGUUUAUUAAAAACACAGCACUGUGCAAACACGAAAGUGGACGUAUACGGUGUGACGCCUGCCCGGUGCCGGAAGGUUAAUUGAUGGGGUCAGCGCAAGCGAAGCUCUUGAUCGAAGCCCCGGUAAACGGCGGCCGUAACUAUAACGGUCCUAAGGUAGCGAAAUUCCUUGUCGGGUAAGUUCCGACCUGCACGAAUGGCGUAAUGAUGGCCAGGCUGUCUCCACCCGAGACUCAGUGAAAUUGAACUCGCUGUGAAGAUGCAGUGUACCCGCGGCAAGACGGAAAGACCCCGUGAACCUUUACUAUAGCUUGACACUGAACAUUGAGCCUUGAUGUGUAGGAUAGGUGGGAGGCUUUGAAGUGUGGACGCCAGUCUGCAUGGAGCCGACCUUGAAAUACCACCCUUUAAUGUUUGAUGUUCUAACGUUGACCCGUGAUCCGGGUUGCGGACAGUGUCUGGUGGGUAGUUUGACUGGGGCGGUCUCCUCCUAAAGAGUAACGGAGGAGCACGAAGGUUGGCUAAUCCUGGUCGGACAUCAGGAGGUUAGUGCAAUGGCAUAAGCCAGCUUGACUGCGAGCGUGACGGCGCGAGCAGGUGCGAAAGCAGGUCAUAGUGAUCCGGUGGUUCUGAAUGGAAGGGCCAUCGCUCAACGGAUAAAAGGUACUCCGGGGAUAACAGGCUGAUACCGCCCAAGAGUUCAUAUCGACGGCGGUGUUUGGCACCUCGAUGUCGGCUCAUCACAUCCUGGGGCUGAAGUAGGUCCCAAGGGUAUGGCUGUUCGCCAUUUAAAGUGGUACGCGAGCUGGGUUUAGAACGUCGUGAGACAGUUCGGUCCCUAUCUGCCGUGGGCGCUGGAGAACUGAGGGGGGCUGCUCCUAGUACGAGAGGACCGGAGUGGACGCAUCACUGGUGUUCGGGUUGUCAUGCCAAUGGCACUGCCCGGUAGCUAAAUGCGGAAGAGAUAAGUGCUGAAAGCAUCUAAGCACGAAACUUGCCCCGAGAUGAGUUCUCCCUGACUCCUUGAGAGUCCUGAAGGAACGUUGAAGACGACGACGUUGAUAGGCCGGGUGUGUAAGCGCAGCGAUGCGUUGAGCUAACCGGUACUAAUGAACCGUGAGGCUUAACCUUACAACGCCGAAGGUGUUU